CCUACGGGAGGCAGCAGUGGGGAAUAUUGCACAAUGGGGGAAACCCUGAUGCAGCGACGCCGCGUGAGUGAAGAAGUAUUUCGGUACGUAAAGCUCUAUCAGCAGGGAAGAAAAUGACGGUACCUGACUAAGAAGCCCCGGCUAACUACGUGCCAGCAGCCGCGGUAAUACGUAGGGGGCAAGCGUUAUCCGGAUUUACUGGGUGUAAAGGGAGCGUAGACGGCAGCGCAAGUCUGGAGUGAAAUCCCAUGGCUUAACCAUGGAACUGCUUUGGAAACUGUGCAGCUAGAGUGCAGGAGAGGUAAGCGGAAUUCCUAGUGUAGCGGUGAAAUGCGUAGAUAUUAGGAGGAACACCAGUGGCGAAGGCGGCUUACUGGACUGUAACUGACGUUGAGGCUCGAAAGCGUGGGGAGCAAACAGUAUUAGAUACCCCUGUAGU
rnacentral:rRNA from 1 species